rnacentral:lncRNA from 1 species
GUUGGUUGAAUGGCAUAUAUAACAAACAGAAAAAAAGACACACACAAACUAUAAUAAAAUUUUAUUAAGUGUCAUUUUCAGCAAUGACUAUACCAUAAAGUAGUCAAACAAAGAUAGAAGACAGAAGUAGGCGGGGCAAGGGGCGUGGCAGUGUUCUUGACUGGCAGUCGAUAUGUAUAAAUAUUCAGAUCAUAUUUGUGUUUAAUAGCUUGUGACUAUUGUCUCUUUAUUGCUUGAAAAUCAUUGGGUCUUCACAACCAGAUAUCACAUUAGUGUAAUCCUGAACUUCAUCAUAUUAAUCUUGAACUUUAUUGUUUAAAAAUAUUUUUUUUCUGGUCACAUUCAAGUUCAUAGUAGAAAAUGCCCUGCCCACUUCUUGUCUUCACUUCAACAUUAUAAACAUACACAUGUAAUUUCAAAAAACUAUUUUUUAAUAGCAUUUGGUUUUAAUUUUGGCUAAAUUCUCUAUGUAACAGUUAUUGAAAAAAAAUAUGUUGGAAGUGUAUUAUAUGAUAUUAAAUACAAUCAAAUGUACAAAUGUUCAAUUAUUUACUUGUUUAAUCUACAAAAUAGGCACGAUCUCUUUAAAUUUGGAUGAAGGAUGAUAUGAGUUAACUCCCCUCUCAUACAUGAUUUAUGUCCCUUUGAUGAACUAAUAUUUGCAUGCCAACAAUAUGUUUUGAGAUUCAAAUAUUGCAACAUUAUAUGAAAAUCAUAGAUUGAACAUUUUACUGAAGCCAACAAAUAAAAAAAAAUAGUAAUACAUAAUUUUAUACUUUCAAGAUUUCUGGACAUAUUCAAAAACAUUAGAAAAACAGAUUUCAUUGUGAAACCAAUCAAUUUCAUUUGGUGCAAAUUUUCAUCUUAAUAUAUCCAAAUAUUAAAUACAUGAUGUAAUUGUUACACAAUUGUAAAAAAAAUCAAUAUCUUCAACACAAAACAUUUAACAGAUCUUAUCCAAAUAAAAACAAUGACAGUUCUAGAAAUGAAUAUCAUCCCAUAUCUGACCCCCCCCCCCUUUUUUUUUUAUUUAAAGAGCCAAUUUUGAAACAGUUAGCAGCAAAAUAAUCUGUACUUAUACAUUCCAGCAAAAUUAAAAUAAAAUUGUUUUUUUAACUUUCACCACAGAAGAUUCAAAUUCUCAAAAUUUCCAGAUUUUACUUAUGAGGUUGUAUAUCAUUUCUUAACUUGGUAAUUGAGACACAUUAAAAAUAUCCAAAAUAUAGAUGUAUACAAUUUGUAUGUAAAUGUUAACAAUUUUCUAAUUGGUAAAAAAACCCAUUUUGGUUGUGGCAUUUUUUUUGUUUUUAAAAAAAAAUCAUACAGUGAAAUGAUUUUUUUCAUGUCAAAAUUUCAUAUACAUCAAAUUCUUAAAAAAAAUCUUGGCUUUUAAAAGUUCUUAACAAUAAAUUGAAGCCAAAAAAUUAACAGCCAUCUUUUAUUUUGAUGCCAGAACAAUAAAAGACCAUAGAAUUUUCAGCUAAACACUUAUAUUUAAAUGUACAUCAGAUUGAGUGAAAGAAAAAAAAAUAUGAAAAAUUCAGCACCAUGUUAUAAAAAUCUUUUGGCUACCCUACAUUUUAAAGGUACAAACUAAAAAAAAAAAAAAAAAAAAUCAGUCAGGAAUGAAAAAAUAAUGCAAAUGGUCUAUCUAAAAUAUCAGCUGAGAGAUAUGUUUGGUAAAAAUCAAAAUUGGUCAAAAAAAUGUUAAAAAGUUUGUUAAUCAAAUAUACAAACUCGCAUGCAUGCACAUUCAUUCAUUUUAAACAAAGUAUUCAUUUUUUUUGAACAUAACGAAAUAAAUUAGUAGAUUACUAUAUAAUAUAAUUAUAGUCUUACACAAAAACUUUUAUGAAGUGGACAAGAAAUUUAUUGACCAAAAUUAUUAAACUUCUAUAUUCACCAAGGUCAAAGGCUGAAGUUACUUAUGGUUUUGUUUAUUUAGUUUAUAAACUUCAUUUCUACUUAUUAAAACAAAAUAAAUGUUUAAUUCUGAUAUUUUUUGUCUAUCUCAUAUAAAAAUUUUCUUUCUUUGAUCAAUCUGUGUGCCAUAUACACCUUAUAUCUAACACUGUAUUAAUCAUUCAAUACAAAUAUUCUUACCUAAUCUGAAAAAAAUCUAGAUUAAUAUAACAAAGUAUCUUGUUUACCAUGAGUAAACCUUUUGUUUCAAAUUAAAUAAGGUGGUACCCAACACUUUAACUAAACUUAAUUUGGCUCGUUUAAUUUUCAUAAAAUUUUGACAAAGUAUUUACUUUGACCCUUUGACAAAAAUAUAAAAAUUUCAAAAAAUUUUAGCCAACCGUUUUAUCCGAAAAAUUACACUGGUUAUAUAGCAGUUUGACAAACACUUAUUUUGAUCAUCGAGAAGCUUAAUAUUCCCUAAACAACACAACGUAGUUAAAACGAUUAGCUCAUUUUACAGAGUUAUCUCCCUGUAGUGUUAGGCCUUAAGUCUAACAAUUCACAUCAAAAUAUAAGAUAAUUUCAACUUCAAAAUAAGAAAAUUUGAAACAGAUUUUUCAUUAUUAUAUCCUCGAAACCUUUAACCAAUAUUUCAGACAUAAUUUCAGCUUUGUUCACACAUAUACACAACGACCACACAUGCACACACUUGUGACUUGUACAUACCUGUAUUAUCACAUAUCACUCAGACAGAUGGCUAUAUUACAAUGUGUUGAUGCACUAUGUACAAAUUAUCUGAGCAGACGGCAAACUGCACCAUGUUUUGUUUACAUUUCUGUAGUCAUGACAACAUCAAAAGUUGUCUUGGUUAUUUGUUUACAAAAUUAUUCCUUUUUAAAAUAUUUAAGGACAUAUUUAGCAUCUAUAAAGGAAAAAUAACCCUUUUCAAACCAAUAUGUAUUUAAAAAAAAAAAAAUUGCAUAUAACAAGUCAUGAACUCUUAAUCUUUGAUGAAUUAAAAAAAAACCCAAACAGUAUUCAAAAUGUUUUGGAACUGUGGUUGAAUUAAGGUGGUACCUAACACUUUCACUAAAAUUAAUUUGGCUCGUUAAAUUUUCAUAAAAUUUUGUCAAAGCAUUUACUUUGACACUUCAACAAAAAUAUAAAAAUUAAAAAAAAAUUGAACCAACCGUUUUGUCAGAAAAAUUACACUGGUUAUAUAGCAGUUUGACAAACACUUAUUUUGAUCAUUGAGAAGCUUGAUAUUCCCUUAACAACACAAUGUAAUUAAAACGUUUUAGCUGAUUUUACAGAGUUAUCUCCCUGUAGUGUUAGGUAUCACCUUAAAUGAUCAAAUUUUCAUAUUGUCUCAACUGCAGAAAUCUGAUUUAAAUUACAUGGACAUGAUUCAAAUAUAUUAAAACUUAAUGAUUGGAACUAAAAAU